GGCGCUUUGGCGGAGUGGUUAACGCGAUGCCCUGCUAUUAUCCAGCGGUAAAGUUUAGGCAUUUCCUUCGGGAGCGUGUGUUCGAAUCACACAGGCGUCG
rfam:Aureobasidium subglaciale EXF-2481 unplaced genomic scaffold scaffold_10, whole genome shotgun sequence.